GUAUGGGCUCUUAGGCAUGGGCCUUUAUUUUUUGUACCACUUCCUCUCAAAACCCUAAGCCCUCCAUCCUAUAAAAGGGGUCCAAUUGUUGGAUGCCCCAUAUGAGUGGAAAAUUAGAGGAGAAGGUCUCCUCUCUUGGGCAUGGGUUCUUCUUCCUUGGAGUAAGGGUUUGGGUGAGAGAAAAAUCAAGAGAGAAGGAGUUCUCCCUUGUCCUCUUCCACCAACCUCUUCUUCCUCCUUUGAUCAGCCACAAAAGACCUCUACAAGGAGUUAGCACUCCAGGGAGGUCGAUCUGAUCGUACUUCGUGUGGAUACCUGUAGAGAUCGGAUGCAUAUACGGCUAGGAGCAACAUACAAUCCCUCGAAUUUCAGCAGCAGCGAUCUUUGAUUCGAGCUCAGGUAUAGAGAUUCGAUCUCUAUCAUAUAUUAGAUUAGAUCUAACAUUUUCGAAUGUUAUUUUCAGAUUAUGCAUGCAUGAUUACAUCA
rnacentral:lncRNA from 1 species